GACGAACGCUGGCGGCGUGCUUAACACAUGCAAGUCGAACGACGUGGCGAACGGGUGAGUAACGCGUAAUCAACCUUCCCUUCAGAGGGGGACAACAGUUGGAAACGACUGCUAAUACCGCAUACUGUAGGAGGGGAUUGCGUUUGAUUAGCUAGUUGGGGGGGUAACGGCCCACCAAGGCGAUGAUCAGUAGCCGGUUCGAGAGGAUGAACGGCCACAUUGGGACUGAGACACGGCCCAGACUCCUACGGGGGGCAGCAGUGGGGGAUCUUCCGAAAUGGACGAAAGUCUGACGGAGCAACGCCGCGGGAGUUAUGACGGCCUUCGGGUUGUAAAGCUCUGUUAAGCGGGACGCGGUACCGGAAUAGAAAGCCACGGCUAACUACGUGCCAGCAGCCGCGGUAAUUC
rnacentral:rRNA from 1 species